AAUAAGAAGCAAAUUUAUGCAUUUAGUUUCGACCUAAAAAUUGGCCAAAGCCCUUAUUU
rnacentral:tRNA from 1 species